rnacentral:rRNA from 1 species
AAAUCCCGGAGCUCAACUCCGGAACUGCCUUGAAGACUGAUCAACUAGAGUACUGGAGAGGUAAGCGGAAUUCCAGGUGUAGCGGUGGAAUGCUUAGAUAUCUGGAAGAACACCGAAAGCGAAGGCAGCUUACUGGACAGAAACUGACGCUCAUGCUCGAAAGCGUGGGGAGCGAAAGGGAUUAGAUACCCCUGUAGUCCACGCCCUAAACGUUGUACACUAGGUAUUGGAGGAAUCAUCCCCUUCAGUGCCCCAGCUAACGCGAUAAGUGUACCGCCUGAGGACUACGACCGCAAGGUUAAAACUCAAAGAAAUUGACGGGGGCCCGCACAAGCGGUGGAGCAUGUGGCUUAAUUCGAUGCAACGCGAAGAACCUUACCUGGGUUUGACAUGUAUUUGAAUAUGCGUGAAAGCGCAUAGUCCUUCGGGACAGGUACACAGAUGCUGCAUGGCUGUCGUCAGCUCGUGUCGUGAGAUGUUCGGUUAAGUCCGGCAACGAGCGCAACCCUCGCCCUAUGUUACCAGCGGGUAAAGCCGGGGACUCUUAGGGGACAAACCUGAAUUCAGGUGGGAAGGUGGGGAUGAUGUCAAGUCAGUAUGGCUCUUACAUCCAGGGCUGCACACGUGCUACAAUGGCCGGCACAGAGGGAAGCUACGCCGCGAGGCGAUGCAAAUCCAGAAAACCGGUCCCAGUUCGGAUUGGAUGUCUGCAACUCGACUCCAUGAAGCCGGAAUCGCUAGUAAAGGCGUAUCAGCUACGACGCCUUGAAUACGUUCCCGGGCCUUGUACACACCGCCCGUCAAGUCAUGAAAGCCGGUUUUGCCCGAAGUUCGUGAGCUAACCCGCGAGGGGGGCAGCGACCUAAGGCAAGGCUGGUGAUUGGGACUAAGUCGUAACAAGGUAGCCGUAGGGGAACCUGCGGCUG